GCUGCACCGUCCCACAAUAUAUUGAUUUCAACUGUGGGCAUCUGAAAACGAUAAUCGCUCUAUCCCACGUAGACAUGCAUUUUUCCUAACACAGGGACAGUAGCAAAUUAUAUACGGUCACAGUGACACAACAUAAGUUUAGACGAGAACAGCCGUAACAGCCACGUAUACAAAACAGACUGCCGAAUGAGAACAUGAACAUAUAUCUGUAUAUAAAUGCCAGAAAUUCAUGAAAACGUCCUGUGAAGGAAAAACCCAAUGUUGAAAUCUCAACGUGGGCAUCUGAAAACAGCUAGUGCUCUAGCCCAUAACACAUGAAAUUUACAGAGGAACAUACAAAACACGAAGCAGCGGGGAAUAAUCACAAUGGCAUACAUCGGAGGUAGCCGCAAAUUGAAUAUUCCAUCUAUACAAUGCUGCAAAUUAUAAAUAUUCGGGCAAUCUGAAAACAACCAUGCAGCCGCACCAUCCCAUAAUAUAUUGAUUUCAACUGUGGGUAUUUGACACAAGAACAAGGGCAGAAUAUAUAUACGCACACGUACAAUGUUUAAAACACAACUUUGACACGUAUAUACACAAAACAAUACAAAGUUAUAACAAUCGUAUAUAUAAAUGCCACAAAUUCAUGAAAAAGUUCUGUGUAGCAAAAAACCCAAGGGCAAAGUUGAAAUCUCAACGUGGGCAUCUGAAAACAGCCAAGUUGCUCUAUAGCCCAUAAAACAUGAAAUGACUUCAAUAACAUGAAACGGUAACAACGGGAAUAUUGCUAAUAAGCUAAUAAACCCGAAUAGCAAUAGCACAAUAUGCUAUAGUUAGCAGCAACAACACCGCAAAUGCUAUUGUUAGCAUAUUCAUGAUAACAUAUGUACAAACAUAAUGAUGGUAACAUAUACGUAUACAAUUCUGACCCCUAACAUAAAAUUAGCACAAAUACCCACUAUAUCAUACAAAUAUAGUGAAGAGCACAGACAUGCAUGCCCCCAGAUUAUAAUCUGCCUCGUAAGGUAUAGUAAAGAAAUUAACAUCUGUAAAAUAUAUGCAAUCGCGAGGACUGGACAUAAUGUGUCAGCAGUAGGCUAUAAUUAAUCGAUAAUUGACGCUGUAGGGAUUUAAUAUCCUGUUAAUGUCAUUAUCAAGUGGGAUUAUUUCGCUUUGAAAAGCCACGGAAAAUUUUAGUCACGCAACAGCGCAAUGUAUAUGCUACAUAUAGUACGUUUAUACUAAACGCAGAGCUUGCACAAGUCAAAGACGCUGAGCUUUCGCAUUAGAGACCCUACGACCCAGGACGGCAACGCGACAGCAACAGCCUCCAAUACAAUAAAUCAUUGAGAGAAUGGAAUAAUCACAAUAUAUGAAUAAUUUAGAUUUGUCUUCGCUCUGUAAUUACUACGCCAAAUCAGAGAUUUUACGUCUUGAUGCAACGGCUGCAUUUCAAGCCGCAACAAGUGCAAUUUCAAACCAGGUUCAGCCGAACUAUACCCAGUCAUAAAACCCAUGUUAAAUGUCAUUCAUGUCGUCCCUUGUCUAGUCUCUCUGUUAAAUCGUGUUGUUAAUAAUUAUCACUUUAUAUAGGUAUUCUGUAUAAAUAGUUAAGGUUACUCGUAACGGAGUGUUGUGCUCUGAGCCUCUGAAGACUGUAUUAAAUUCAUACGACUGAUAAUACGCGUCGAAUUAUUUUUACUACCAUUUAUUUGAAGGAGUGUGUUGUCACCGUCGCGCCGCCGCCCCAAAAUCGCAAGGAGCCCAGUAUUGAUCUUCUACGCUUGUAGAAUCACGACCACGAGUAGCUGUGUGAGCAAAACUAUCUAUUACACACUGAGGGUAGAUAUCUCCCAAAAAUUUAGCUCCCAUUUUAUAAAUCGGAAGACUAGGGGCUGGCUAAUAAAUUCCUAAAGUUCACAUUUAUUCAAUUUAGAGUGUACUGUAGUUACCCCUGUAGACUGCGACUGAAAGUCAUGAAUAUGCGAGUCAUUGUAAACCAGACUGCAGAGUCAGUCAACGUCGCACUCGAUAUUUUUUAGGCAGAAAUUUAGCACUUUAUAACAAUUUUCGCCAUUUAAUCUGCCCUGUAAUCUCUAAUUUUCGUUGUUUUUAACAUGUAUCUUGCUACAUUUGCGCCCUUGACUGCAUCUUGAUGCACACUUGGGAACUGUUUUGCGCACACGCACUUCGAGUUUCUAACUUUUGCGAACCCGAAAUGGCCAACACCGCAGUCUGGUUUGUAAGUAAAGUCCCAUACAUAUCCAUAUGUCGCAAGCAAAAUGGAAAUGUCCUUGGUAUCCAAUAUAUUAUUAAUUAUUAUGCAUAAGUAAGAGAUAUUUACCAGAUACAGAAGAUAAUUCUCUUCUAUCCAAUUUCUUGAUGUGAACUGCAGGCCUCGUGGAAUAGGAAAGGACAGAUAGCCCGCUUCACCACUGAUAAAUACCGAAAUUUCCAGUCACGUGACUAUACCUAAAUUAACUUGCGCGCGCAAAUUACUUAUUUCGCAUAAUUAAUUUCAACCAUAAAUUAUUCCGGGAAGCAAUAAAAACUCUUAUCGCUGUGGCAAUAAGUUCCUUUAUCA